GGCCAUAGAUCCUAUUUUUAAUAUGUGAGUACAGCUAUCACAAAAUGUCAGGAAUUGUUCAGGCAGUAAGAACUGAAAAUACAGUCAUAAAACAUAUCCUAAAAGUCACAAUGAUUUUUAUUCUUGUAUGAAUGGUCUUAUUGCUAUUGCUACAUUUAUUAUUUUGAAGUUUCAUUAAAUAGGUCUAUUAAAAAAAAAAACAAACAAAAGAACCCACCAACUUUUCAACUGCAAAAAAAAUUUCCAUAAAGCUGAGAUAUACAGCAGACACUCUCUCAAGAAUUACAUCAGGAGUAUCAGUACUGCCUUGACAUUAAUGAGCAUGUGUCACCUGGAGUUAGUUGCAUUACGAUCACUAAGACUGUACAUGAUGGUCUGUUAGCAGGAGAGGGAGUGUCCAUUAAGAGGCAGGCUAUCCAAUGUGUGAGAGGAGACUUGAUGACCCUUUCCCAUCUUCCCCUGCCAGAAGUUCUUCCAUGCUCUGAUGUUUGCUAGAAGGGCGUAGAGGACACUCUCCAGUUGCUACUGUACAAACAGAAUGCUGAAGGCCAUCACAACACAGCACACAGCCACGUAAGGGCUCUUCCUCUCCUCUGUCACUCAAAUUGGACCACUCUGAUAAUUACCAAUCCUGGCGCAUUUCCAGAAUAUUCCCAACAGUCUUUUUAUUUUUGUCCAGUAAGCUGGGAGCCAAGGAUCUGAUAUAGGCACAGGUGCAUAUAAGCAGCAAGAUUACAGUCAGUAGACUCUGAAAGUUGAAGAUGGCAGAC
rnacentral:lncRNA from 1 species